GAUGAACGCUGGCGGCGUGCCUAAUACAUGCCAGUCGAGCGAACAGACGAGGAGCUUGCUCCUCUGCCGUUAGCGGCGGACGGGUGAGUAACACGUGGAUAACCUUCCUAUAAGACUGGGAGAACUUCGGGAAACCGGAGCUAAUAACGGAUAACAUGUUCAACCGCAUGGUUCAACAGUGAAAGACGGUCUUGCUGUCACUUAGAGAUGGAUCCGCGCCGCAUUGGCUAGUUGGUAAGGUAACGGCUUACCAAGGCAACGAUGCGUAGCCGAACUGAGAGGGUGAUCGGCCACACUGGAACUGAGACACGGUCCAGACUCCUACGGGAGGCAGCAGUAGGGAAUCUUCCGCAAUGGGCGCAAGCCUGACCGAGCAACGCCGCGUGAGUGAAGAAGGUCUUCGGAUCGUAAAACUCUGUUAUUAGGGAAGAAAAAAUGUGUAAGUAACUCUGCACGUCUUGACGGUACCUAAUGAAAAAGCCACGGCUAACUACGUG
rnacentral:rRNA from 1 species